rnacentral:rRNA from 2 species
UGCCUCAGUAACGGCGAGUGAAGCGGCAACAGCUCAAAUUUGAAAUCUGGCUCCUUCGGGGCCCGAGUUGUAAUUUGCAGAGGAUGCGUCGGGUACGGGUGCCUUCCGAGUUCCCUGGAACGGGACGCCAUAGAGGGUGAGAGCCCCGUCUGGUAGGACACCCAGCCCGUGUGACGCUCCCUCGACGAGUCGAGUAGUUUGGGAAUGCUGCUCUAACGGGAGGUAUACUCCUUCCAAGGCUAAAUACCGGCUGGAGACCGAUAGCGCACAAGUAGAGUGAUCGAAAGAUGAAAAGCACUUUGAAAAGAGAGUCAAAUAGCACGUGAAAUUGUUAAAAGGGAAGCGCUCGCUACCAGACUUGGGUUCGGCGGUUCAACCGGGGCCAUGCCCCGGGGCACUCCGCCGACCCAGGCCAGCAUCAGCUUUCCGUCGGGGGCAAAGGCGUCGGGAAUGUGGCUCUCCUUCGGGGGAGUGUUAUAGCCCGGCGUGUCAUACCCUUCGGGGGGCUGAGGUACGCGCUUCUGCAAGGAUGCUGGCGUAAUGGUAGCUAGUGACCCGUCUUGAAACACGGACCAAGGAGUCAACCUUAUGUGCGAGUGCCCGGGCGUAAAACCCCAGCGCGGAAUGAAAGUGAACGUAGGUGAGAGCUUCGGCGCAUCACCGACCGAUCCUGAUGUCCUCGGACGGAUUUGAGUGAGAGCAUAUAGGGUUGGACCCGAAAGAAGAUGAACUAUGCGUGUGUAGGGGAAGCCAG